rnacentral:rRNA from 1 species
GACGAACGCUGGCGGCGUGCUUAACACAUGCAAGUCGAACGGAAAGGCCCUGCUUGCAGGGUACUCGAGUGGCGAACGGGUGAGUAACACGUGGGUGAUCUGCCCUGCACUUCGGGAUAAGCUUGGGAAACUGGGUCUAAUACCGGAUAGGAGCCAUCUUUAGUGUGGUGGUUGGAAAGUUUUUUGGUGUAGGAUGAGCUCGCGGCCUAUCAGCUUGUUGGUGGGGUAAUGGCCUACCAAGGCGGCGACGGGUAGCCGGCCUGAGAGGGUGUACGGCCACAUUGGGACUGAGAUACGGCCCAGACUCCUACGGGAGGCAGCAGUGGGGAAUAUUGCACAAUGGGCGCAAGCCUGAUGCAGCGACGCCGCGUGGGGGAUGAAGGCCUUCGGGUUGUAAACUCCUUUCGCUAGGGACGAAGCUUUGUUGUGACGGUACCUAGAUAAGAAGCACCGGCUAACUACGUG